rnacentral:lncRNA from 1 species
CAAUAACAGGCUCUCAUUUUUGAGGAAGUAUCAAACAAAUUAAAAGGGGUGGACAUAGUCAAGAUGGCGACUUAGAAGUGGCAAAAGUCAAUUCCUCUGUGAAAACUCUUCUACACCAAUCAAAAACAAAGCACUUCCAGGGGGACAGAAAACCAAAUCCAACAAGAAGACAGAACUGAGGGAUCUUACUCCUCAAUUCAACUUAAAAGCUUUGCAGAUCACCUCAACUGGCUUGAUCUAGUUUAUCAAUUGUGCUGAGAAGAAGCCUCCAGAAGGCAGAGGAGCUCAGGCUCACUUAGCUAGCAGAAAACUAGAGGAGCAAGGGUGCAGAGUGGACAGAGAGCUAGGCUCAGCAGUGGGACCACAGUCUCUCCUGUUCAAUCAAACCUGAAAGGCUUCUCAGGAGUCUUAUGGUUGAAUGACAAAUUUUCUAUUCUGCUCUGGUCUUUUCAUCAAGAAUGUUUGAAAAUACUCCAUUUUAUUAAAUGUCUAUUUUCCCCCUUGAAAGAUCUACUCAGUUUUUCUAGAUCUCUUUUUCAAAAGGAAUGGAAAUGGUGUACCUCCAGGAUCCCAUUUAGGAAUGAAUAUAUGAGUGAGUCUAUAACUUCAAGCUAAAUCAGAGAUGCCAGUAUCUUCUGGGGGAGGAUUUCUUCUUCUUACUUCACAUAAUGGAAAA